rnacentral:tRNA from 1 species
GCCCGGGUGGCGGAAUUGGCAGACGCGCAUGGUUGAGGGCCAUGUUGAGUUAACACUCAGUGCUGGUUCGACUCCAGUCCCGGGCA